rnacentral:rRNA from 1 species
GGGUCAAGUUAGUAAGGGUCCACGGUGGAUGCCUUGGGGCCAAGAGCCGAAGAAGGGCGUGGCAAGACUGCGAAAAGCCUCGGUCAGCUGUCUAGUGAGCUUAGCCGAGGAUUCCCGAAUUGGGAAACCUCUAACGGGUCAUACCGUUAGACCCGUCGCAAGACGGGGGGUAAGUGGGUGAACUGAAACAUCUAAGUAACCUGAGGAAAAUAAAUCAACCGAGAUUCCCAAAGUAGUGGCGAACGAAAUGGGAACAGCCCAAACCGAUCGGGCUUAGUGGAAUGAGGUCCUAUGUCCGGUCGGGGUUGUAACAUACGCCUGCUCCAACCUCGUAAAGUGAGCAGAGAGUAAGAAAAUCGUUCCUUAGCCAAAUGUUCCUGGAAAGGACAACCGUAGAAGGUGAUAGUCCUGUAGGCGAAAGGGAGCGGUCUCUCGGCGUAUUGUUGAGUACCACGGGACACGAGAAAUCUUGUGGGAAGCUGGGGGGACCACCCUCCAAGGC